AACGCAUAUUGCACUCUCUGGUAUUCCGGAGAGUACACCUGUUCGAGCGCCAUAUCAAACCUCAAGUUUAACUUGGUGUUGGAAGAAAUCGUCUUCGAUUCUUCCGAAACUGAUGAGCGUGACCUACAAAGCCUCAAGUGUAGCGAAGUUAUGUACGCACUUGCACUGAAGGGGGGUUACGUCCUGAAAAGGGAUUCAUCAAGGAAUCCUUUACUUUCAAAGUUUGGCCUCGAAUCAGGUGGGGAUACCCGCUGAACUUAA
rnacentral:misc_RNA from 1 species